UACGUAGGGACCGAGCGUUGUCCGGAAUCAUUGGGCGUAAAGAGCGUGUAGGCGGCCACUUAAGUCCUGCGUGAAAUCUUGCGGCUCAACCGCAAGCGGUCGUGGGAAACUGGGUGGCUAGAGUGCGGGAGAGGAGAGUGGAAUUCCUGGUGUAGCGGUGGAAUGCGCAGAUAUCAGGAGGAACACCUGUGGCGAAAGCGGCGCACUGGACCACAACUGACGCUGAGGCGCGAAAGCUAGGGGAGCAAACAGG
rnacentral:rRNA from 1 species